rnacentral:rRNA from 1 species
ACGGAAGGCAGCAGUGGGGAAUAUUGCACAAUGGGCGAAAGCCUGAUGCAGCGACGCCGCGUGAACGAAGAAGUAUUUCGGUAUGUAAAGUUCUAUCAGCAGGGAAGAUAAUGACGGUACCUGACUAAGAAGCACCGGCUAAAUACGUGCCAGCAGCCGCGGUAAUACGUAUGGUGCAAGCGUUAUCCGGAUUUACUGGGUGUAAAGGGAGCGCAGGCGGCGCGGCAAGUCUGAAGUGAAAUCCCGGGGCUCAACCCCGGAACUGCUUUGGAAACUGUCGUGCUAGAGUGUCGGAGGGGUAAGCGGAAUUCCUAGUGUAGCGGUGAAAUGCGUAGAUAUUAGGAGGAACACCAGUGGCGAAGGCGGCUUACUGGACGAUAACUGACGCUGAGGCUCGAAAGCGUGGGGAGCGAACAGGAUUAGAUACCCUGGUA